AAAUCCGAAUGAACCUGCACUUUGGAAGCCCGACACUUUUAUUUUAUUUUACAGCUGCUUGUGCUCCAUUUAGCAUGUUGCCAGUAUUCUACUAUUGCUAAUUCACUGCUUCGAGACAUGUACCAGUCUGUAGAUAAUAACAAAACAAAUGUAUAACCCAAAAUAGUUGAUAGUUAGCAUCUGAGCUAAUCAAUCCAUGUGUUGUACGUUGCAUUCUUCACCGUCGGAUAAACUUCACACCAAUGAAAAUCAACGUCACUCAAAUGAAACAACCGGGAGGGUAAACAUGUUUUUACUGUUUGUAAUAUUAUUUAAAUAGCUGUACUCAGUGUGGAUUACUUGGAAUGUGUGAAAAAGGUUGCAAAAAACUACUUCGUCAAGUCAUUUGAAACGGUCCACGGGGCUCUUGAACGCAGCACAGUUUACGUCCAACUGAUUGGACCGUGACGACAAGCCCCGCCCCCUCCAGAGAAGCAUUAAAGCCUCCACGGUUGACACAGUUAACAACAAACUUUGACACUACACACGCAAUCAUGAUCAACUAUAAGGCUUUAGACAACGUCCCCCUCCUUCUCUACAUCCUGGCCCUGAAGACCCUGAUCCUGUGUCUGGGGUUCGCCGGGGUGAAGAUCUACCAGAGCAAGAAGGCAGACCAGGCGCUGAAGAAGCAGAGAGACGAGCAGAAGAGGCUAGCCCAGAUCACCCAGGAGCUCAUAGACAACAAGAAGGACGACUGAGACGAUCUGCACACAGGGAACAUGUUUCUGACCUGAGGAACAUGCCAGUUUCUCCACAAACGAGCCGGAUGUCUGACUGUCGGCAGCAGGAGGUCCUCCCUGUGCCUUACAUCACUCUACUGGUUUUCCAUAUGUAAAUGUUUGACCGAACUAUCAGUCAAACAUUGUUUUUUAAUCAAAUUGAAUGACAGCAGGAAAGCUGAGGGACUGUUUUGUCUUUUUAACAGUGAAGAAACACACGGCCCAGCGUCCACUCCUUUCUGGGCCUCAUCUACUGUUUUCUUUAUACUCGUCACACUUGACUUAGCUUCACUUUGUACACCGGGAGUGUUAGUGUAUCAAUGCUAGUCAAAUCUGCUUAUUCUCAAGAAUACAGCAUGGUAUUUAUUCUGAAAUAUUCCUUGUAAAUUGUCUACCUGCAUUGUGCCAAACUUUUAUAUUUGUAUUAAACUGUUUGUUCCACAUGUU